CGCCGCUGCUGCAAUAACGGGGAGUGGGAGAGAGGCGGCUCUCUGGCUUUUUUUGGGAUGAGGACUUGAACUUGCGUUGGCCCCGCCCUCACUUCCCGGCUGAGACGUCUCAUUUAACCCUUGCUGCUGUAUCAAGUAAGAAGACGAAAGAGUGAAAUGAAGGAGCGCCCAUAGAGCACGUCACUGAAAGACAUAUGGAUGCAGUGCUCUAGACUAGAGAAUGACUCAGGGAUAUUGAUAAAAGAUCAGUUUAUUAGCAGGAUUGAAUGACAGGCUGCUGCCCACUAACCAUGAGUCCCGGGUCCACUGGUCUCUGCAGGCCGUAGCCACCGUUGUUUGUGAUGGGCCAUCUGGUACAACUGCCUCGUGACAACUCAGCUGUGGUGUUUGUGUGCUGGGGGUGGUGCUGAUUGUGUGCUCUGCAGAUUAAACUUUCACAUGCAUACAGGUGUCAACAGAGUCGGGUAGAACGGGCCGAUAAAAGCCACGACAGACCGAGUUGACAGCUAAUUGGCACUUGUGUGGGGCCCUCCGACGGGCUUCCCCAAUCGACAUCUGGCCGACUAACCCGUCCGAUCGCGGCUGCAUCUGUGCGCUGAUGCGGGCCCGCGUUCCCAUAUUGACUGCAUUAUGAUCCGAUUGUUGGGCCCUUGGCCCACGAAUGGAUCGGCCCAAAAUCGCCCACCUCAAUGUGGGCAUAUCGGGGAGAGUUACGCUCGUUUGAUGAAAUUGCCAAACGCAUCUGUACGUGUAUGGCCACCAAGAAUAUGCACAACAUCCAUGCCCAUUAUUACUAUACGCAACCGUGGACUCCUUGUGUAACAUAUAUGCACAUACAUAGCCUCUCAAACUCCAAAGUGGUUUUUAAUAUGCACAAAUAUUAUAUUUGUAUUUUCAUUAGCUUUAGUACUUAGUACAUAUAUGUCAUCUAUUA